AACGAACGCUGGCGGCAUGCCUAACACAUGCAAGUCGAACGAAACCUUCGGGUCUAGUGGCGGACGGGUGCGUAACGCGUGGGAAUCUGCCCUUGGGUUCGGAAUAACAGAUGGAAACGACUGCUAAUACCGGAUGAGCACGUAAGGGCAAAGAUUUAUCGCCCAAGGAUGGGCCCGCGUAGGAUUAGCUAGUUGGUGAGGUAAAGGCUCACCAAGGCGACGAUCCGUAGCUGGUCUGAGAGGAUGAUCAGCCACACUGGGACUGAGACACGGCCCACACUCCUACGGGAGGCAGCAGUGGGGAAUAUUGGGCAAUGGGCGAAAGCCUGACCCAGCCAUGCCGCGUGAGUGAUGAAGGUCUUAGGAUUGUAAAGUUCUUUCACCCGGGACGAUAAUGACGGUACCGGGAGAAGAAGCCCCGGCUAACUUCGUG
rnacentral:rRNA from 1 species